rnacentral:lncRNA from 1 species
CCGUGCCUGACAGACAUUUUUCUUACUGCAUUCCUCUCUUGUGAAAAGUUGCUUCAUUGACAAUCAUACAACAUCUUCUUUUUUUAUAUGUAGGCCUUGCAGGUUGCAAAAAAAAACAUGUCUUUCUGUUUAAUUGUUUAAAAGUGGGAACGAAAUAUUUGUUCGACAAACAAUUGAAUGGAUGGAUAUGUUAAAUGCAAUAUAGCG